UCCCCCAUUCCUGAAUCCCAUUCCCAUUUCCCAAAAUAAACCCAAACUCCCUCCCUCAAACCCUCUCGUUGCCCCUAGCCCCCUCACCCAGUGCCUCUCACCCCGUCGCCAACAAGCUCAACCCUCUCACUCUCAACUCCAUACGUGGUGACGACAUGGCCCACUCUCUCACUCUACACUGCACACGCCGUCGGCGACUCGACUAGUUCUUAAAUCAUGCAUAUAGAAGGCACAAGCACUCCUACAUCCACAUUUGCAUCUUGUCCUGCCAUCCCAGCCCUAAAACAACCUAUUAAUGGUCCCAGUCCCAUAGUUGAUGAGUCUAGCGGACCAAUAGACUCUUUGAUGGGCACUCCUAGUGCCUUCCGUUCUAACCCUCGUCCUCCACCUGGUAGUAGAAAUCUUAAAAAUAAGUCUGAGGUAUGGUUUCACUUCACAAGAGUGCCCGAUUGUGAUCCCGAAGAGGCUGUUGCUACUUUUAACCAUUGUCAUAGGCAAUGGAAAUGCCAUCCCAAAAGGCAAGGCACUUCGGCCAUGAAAGCAGACAUUCAACUUUGCUCCAAAAACAGUAAAAGUUGGACAAGAGUAAAACAUUCUUGGUCCCAGAAACAAGAAGUGAAGGAGGGGAAGGGGAGAAGAGCUUAGGGAUGACCAAGUACAAUGAAAAAAAAAAAAUCGGGCUACCCUUGCUAGGAUGUUGAUAGUGGAUGAGUUGCCCUUUAGGGUUGUUGAGGGAGAAGGGUUUCAGGAAUUUGUUAAAUCCCUUAAUCUUAGGUUUCCUAUUCCUUCUCGAUUUACCGUAAUGUGUGACUUUAUGAGGCAAUUUUUGAGAGAGAAUGAUAGUUUGAAGAAAAUGUUUUUAACCACCAAACAAAGAGUGGGCACGACCACUGACACUUGGACUUUUAUUCAAAAUAUUAAUUACAUGUGUGUGACUGCUCACUUCAUUGAUAGUAGUUGGAAGUUACAUAAGCGGAUCAUUUCAUUUGCUUGGAUUAGCGACCACAAGGGGGCAACAAUUGGGAGGGUAUUGGAGGUGUAUGCUUGAUUGGGGCAUUGACAAAAUCCUCACAAUUAUGGUGGACAAUGCUACCUCUAAUGAUUCCGCAAUCGAUUGGUUGAGAACAAAGGAAAUAGGAAGUGAGGAUUGUGUUGCAGCUCACAAGUUUAUUCACAUGAGGUGUACAACACACAUCUUACACCUUGUUGUGAGUGAAUAUUUGAAAGAUGUUGAUGACUCAAUCAUAAGGGUUCUGAAGUUGAUUAAGUAAUUGAAGUCUUCUCCCCAAAAACUUGCCACUUUCAAAUCUUGUGUUGAUAGGUCAAAAGUUCCAUGUUCUAGUUUUUUGAGUCUUGAUGUGCCUACUAGAUGGAACUCGACUUUUGUUAUGUUGGACGUGGUUGAAAUGUAUCAAAAAGCCUUCCAACUUUUGCUUGAUGAGGAUCUCUACUCACAAGUUUAUUUGUCUAAAGAUAGGCAUGGGAAAAUGCGUGUAAGAGCUCCUGGGCCUGAUGAUUGGGAGACCAUAAGAAAAUUUUCGAAGCUUCUUCAAGUAUUUUAUAAUGUUACCUUGCGUAUUUUUUGUACACUAUAUGUCACAUCAACUAUAUAUUUUCAAGAGCUUAUUAGUAUUCAUAAACACUUCAAUGCUUUUUGUGACAAUAAGCAUGUGUUAGAUGCAAUAAGCAUAAGUGGUUGCUUUGUGUUCCUUGCAUAAUUAUAUCAAGAAUUUGUUGUAGAACCAAACAUCAAAGGCCUACAUAGCCACCAUCUUAAGAUAAACUAAUUAUUCAUCAUAUUUUAACCCUUCCCAUUACGAUGAUUAAAGAAAAUCAGUAUUUUUUAUCACAAAAAUCGUUAGCAUGGGAUUUAAUAACAAAAUUAACAGAUAUAGUUUUCUUUAUAGAAUAUAUUGUCUUAAAGCGAAACAAUUAACAUAUCUAUCAAUCAUUAGCUUAUUUGAAUAUUUACACCCUAAAUUAUUAAUAUUGGCUUUUGGACAGUUCGAAAGUAAAAUAUGUCUUAUUGUACUAGUUUGGGAUAAAGACGGCAAAACAGUUGAUAAUUUGAGGGUGUAAAGUGUACGUAACUCUUGGUGUAUGUUCUUUUUUUUUUUUUAAUCAUCUUUUGUUAUUUUAGUAAGAAUAGUCAGUUUGAGGGUUCAUUGCUAGUUUUGGAACCCUUAACUCACACCGCAUUUUGCAUAUAUUUUUUUAUUGCCACUGGACGUCGCACAACUGCACAAGCCCUUGACAAGUUUUCUACAAUUACACAUUGGAUAAUUCAAGCAAAAGUUUCCUGCACCUGCAUAUAUAUUAAGAGAAAAUGGGACAAAUGCUUCCACUUUGUACCUAUGUUUGGAUGAAAAUGACAAAA